GCGGCUAUGGUGUAGUGGUAACACGGCAGCUUCCCAAGCUGCAAUCACGGGUUCGACCCCCGUUAGCCGCU
rnacentral:tRNA from 1 species